AGAGUUUGAUCCUGGCUCAGAUUGAACGCUGGCGGUAUGCUUUACACAUGCAAGUCGAACGGGCUUGAGGGGCUUGCUCCUCAAGUUAGUGGCGAACGGGUGAGUAACAUAUCGGAACAUGUCCGGAAGUGGGGGAUAACGUAGCGAAAGUUACGCUAAUACCGCAUAUGCCCUGAGGGGGAAAGGGGGGGAUCGCAAGACCUCUCGCUUUCGGAGUGGCCGAUAUCAGAUUAGCUAGUUGGUGAGGUAAAGGCUCACCAAGGCGACGAUCUGUAGCUGGUCUGAGAGGACGACCAGCCACACUGGAACUGAGACACGGUCCAGACUCCUACGGGAGGCAGCAGUGGGGAAUUUUGGACAAUGGGCGCAAGCCUGAUCCAGCCAUACCGCGUGAGUGAAGAAGGCCUUCGGGUUGUAAAGCUCUUUCAGCCGGAAAGAAAUCGUGCAAUCUAAUAAAUUGUAUGGAUGACGGUACCGGAAGAAGAAGCACCGGCUAACUACGUGCCAGCAGCCGCGGUAAUACGUAGGGUGCGAGCGUUAAUCGGAAUUACUGGGCGUAAAGCGUGCGCAGGCGGUUUUGUAAGACAGACGUGAAAUCCCCGGGCUUAACCUGGGAACUGCGUUUGUGACUGCAGGGCUAGAGUGUAGCAGAGGGGGGUAGAAUUCCACGUGUAGCAGUGAAAUGCGUAGAUAUGUGGAGGAAUACCGAUGGCGAAGGCAGCCCCCUGGGCUAACACUGACGCUCAUGCACGAAAGCGUGGGGAGCAAACAGGAUUAGAUACCCUGGUAG
rnacentral:rRNA from 1 species